rnacentral:rRNA from 1 species
CCUGAGUACGACGGAGCACGUGAAAUUCCGUCGGAAUCUGGGAGGACCAUCUCCUAAGGCUAAAUACUCUCUAGUGACCGAUAGUGAACCAGUACCGUGAGGGAAAGGUGAAAAGUACCCCGGAAGGGGAGUGAAAGAGAACUUGAAACCGUGUGCUUACAAGUAGUCAGAGCCCGUUAAUGGGUGAUGGCGUGCCUUUUGUAGAAUGAACCGGCGAGUUACGAUCUGAUGCAAGGUUAAGCAGAAAAUGUGGAGCCGUAGCGAAAGCGAGUCUGAAUAGGGCGAAUGAGUAUUUGGUCGUAGACCCGAAACCAGGUGAUCUACCCUUGGUCAGGUUGAAGUUCAGGUAACACUGAAUGGAGGACCGAACCGACUUACGUUGAAAAGUGAGCGGAUGAACUGAGGGUAGCGGAGAAAUUCCAAUCGAACUUGGAGAUAGCUGGUUCUCUCCGAAAUAGCUUUAGGGCUAGCCUCAAGUGAUGAUUAUUGGAGGUAGAGCACUGUUUGGACGAGGGGCCCCUCUCGGGUUACCGAAUUCAGACAAACUCCGAAUGCCAAAUAAUUUAACUUGGGAGUCAGAAUGUGGGUGAUAAGGUCCAUAUUCGAAAGGGAAACAGCCCAGACCACCAGCUAAGGUCCCAAAAUAUAUGUUAAGUGGAAAAGGAUGUGGCGUUGCCCAGACAACUAGGAUGUUGGCUUAGAAGCAGCCAUCAUUUAAAGAGUGCGUAAUAGCUCACUAGUCGAGUGACACUGCGCCGAAAAUGUACCGGGGCUAAACAUAUUACCGAAGCUGUGGAUUGUCCUUUGGACAAUGGUAGGAGAGCGUUCUAAGGGCGUUGAAGCAUGAUCGCAAGGACAUGUGGAGCGCUUAGAAGUGAGAAUGCCGGUGUGAGUAGCGAAAGACGGGUGAGAAUCCCGUCCACCGAUUGACUAAGGUUUCCAGAGGAAGGCUCGUCCGCUCUGGGUUAGUCGGGUCCUAAGCUGAGGCCGACAGGCGUAGGCGAUGGAUAACAGGUUGAUAUUCCUGUACCACCAUUAUUCGUUUUAAGCGAUGGGGGGACGCAGUAGGAUAGGCGAAGCGUGCUGUUGGAGUGCACGUCCAAGCAGUGAGAUUGAGUGUUAGGCAAAUCCGGCACUCUUAAGAUUGAGCUGUGAUGGGGAGAGGAACUUGUUCCUCGAGUCGUUGAUUUCACACUGCCGAGA